rnacentral:tRNA from 1 species
GGGUCCUUAGCUCAGUUGGGAGAGCGCCUGCUUCGCAAGUAGGAGGUCGACGGUUCAAGUCCGUUAGGAUCCACUA